GCAGAGGAACCCCAUCAAACUUGGAUUUUGUAAGUAGUUGCGAAUGAACACAAAUUUGAUCACUUUGGCAAUCUGUACACAUUGCUGUGUAACAAUUUGUAUACGUUGGCACAGUGCUAUCAAAGCUGCAUGCAAGUGUUUUUUGAAAGGAUACAACAUGGGAUGUGAUAUUCAUGUGUGUGUGCCUGCUUUGUCCACAGCCUGUGCUGUAUGAAUCACAUUUCUUGCAACUGAAAUGCUAAUGGCAUGGUAAAGUUCAUGUGACAUGACACAAGCUUGAGAUUCAUGAUGUGCAAGUACCAUGAGGGAAAUGUGAAAAGGACUUUGGAAAGAGAAUUAAAUAAAGCCUGCAUUUGCUGACAAUGAAAGCAAGUGUGGAUGUUCAUGUAAUUGUUACUGCAUCAAUCAAUGUUCAUCUUGGUUACUGCAUGCUUUAUAUUACAGCUCAGAACAUGAAGUGUGUGUAACAGCUCUGCUUUGAUUUUUCCCACAUGGGAUCAGUUGAAACAUUGUGAGAACACUCUUCAGUUUCCUUAUGUACCCACCAGCUUUGUCCACUCGCGUGUUGGCACACAUGUAAUGAUGAUGUGUUUAUGCAAGAUACUUCUGUGCUCAACAACAUGUUGUGUCAAUCCUCACUUGACCCGUCUUGAAACCGGAACCAGGGAUCUACUUGUUUAAAACAAUAUUUUUGAUAAAUAGGCCCCCCCUUUAUUUUUCAAGAUGGUUAUAAAGAGAAACAUUUUUUUUGGAACCGAAAAAUGAUAAAAAAAUGAGAUUUUUCCCUAGACACGUGGAUAUGGAAUCAAAGUAAAUGGGUACCAGUCUCUCC
rnacentral:rRNA from 1 species